rfam:Gossypium hirsutum cultivar TM-1 unplaced genomic scaffold scaffold1588.1, whole genome shotgun sequence
UAUUAAAAAAUUUCAUCCAUUUGUACUGUUAAAAUCUAAUGUACCUGAUGAGAUAAUCAGAAAGUAACACGUGAUGUGCCAUGUGUACCUCAUGCUUAUGUACAAUGACUGGUUUUUAAUAGUAGAAAUGUAUAAUUUUUUAAUC